GAUGAAGAACGUAGCGAAACGCGAUAUGUAAUGUGAAUUGCAGAAUUCAGUGAAUCAUCGAAUCUUUGAACGCACAUGGCGCCUUCCAGUAUCCUGGGAGGCAUGCCUGUCCGAGCGUCGUUUCAACCCUUGAGCCCCCGUGGCCCGGCGUUGGGGAUCUGCCACGGCAGGCCCCUAAAACCAGUGGCGGACCCGAAGGCCCUCUCCUUUGCGCAGUAGCAUCAGCCUCGCAUUGCGAUCCCUCGGCGUCCUGCCUCUAAACCCCCCACAAGUCCGCUCCGGCGGCACCAAGGUUGACCUCGGAUCAGGUAGGAAUACCCGCUGAACUUAAGCAUAUCAAUAAGCGGAGGA
rnacentral:misc_RNA from 1 species